rnacentral:rRNA from 1 species
AUGAACGCUAGCGGCAGGCUUAAUACAUGCAAGUCGAGGGGCAGCACGGGUAGCAAUACCUGGUGGCGACCGGCGCACGGGUGCGUAACGCGUAUGUAAUCUACCAUUAACCGGGGAAUAGCCCAGAGAAACUUGGUCUAAUACCCCAUAGUAAUCUUAGGAGGCAUCUUUUAAGAUUUAAAGCUUUGGUGGAUACGGAUUGGCUCGCGUGACAUUAGCUAGAUGGUAAGGUAACGGCUUACCAUAGCUAUGAUGUCUAGGGGGUCUGAGAGGAUGAUCCCCCACACUGGUACUGAGACACGGACCAGACUCCUACGGGAGGCAGCAGUAAGGAAUAUUGGGCAAUGGAGGCAACUCUGACCCAGCCAUGCCGCGUGAAGGAUUGACGGCCCUCUGGGUUGUAAACUUUUUGUAUGGGAGCAAUAAGGUCUUCGUGAAGGCCGAUGAGAGUACCAUACGAAUAAGCAUCGGCUAACUCCGUGCCAGCAGCCGCGGUAAUACGGAGGAUGCAAGCGUUAUCCGGAUUUAUUGGGUUUAAAGGGUGCGUAGGCGGAUUGAUAAGUCAGUGGUGAAAGCCUGCAGCUUAACUGCAGAACUGCCAUUGAUACUGCCAGUCUGGAGUAUGGUUGAGGUAGCUGGAAUGUGUCAUGUAGCGGUGAAAUGCUUAGAGAUGACACAGAACACCGACGGCGAAGGCAGGUUACCAACCCAUUACUGACGCUGAGGCACGAAAGCGUGGGGAUCAAACAGGAUUAGAUACCCUGGUAGUCCACGCCGUAAACGAUGAGUGCUAGGUGUUGGGUAGCGAUAUUCAGUGCCGAAGUUAACACAAUAAGCACUCCGCCUGGGGAGUACGGUCGCAAGACUGAAACUCAAAGGAAUUGACGGGGACCCGCACAAGCAGCGGAGCAUGUGGUUUAAUUCGAAGCAACGCGAAGAACCUUACCAGGUCUUGACAUCCCCCUCUGAAUGGCGCUUAGCAGCGCAGGUCUUUCGGGACAGAGGAGACAGGUGCUGCAUGGCUGUCGUCAGCUCGUGUCGUGAGAUGUUGGGUUAAGUCCCGCAACGAGCGCAACCCUUAUCUUUAGUUGCCAUCAUUAAGUUGGGCACUCUAAAGAGACUGCCGGUGUCAAACCGGAGGAAGGUGGGGAUGACGUCAAGUCCUCAUGGCCUUUAUGACCAGGGCUACACACGUACUACAAUGGCCGGUACAAAGGGCAGCAACACAGCGAUGUGAAGCCAAUCCCAUAAAGCCGGUCUCAGUCCGGAUUGGAGUCUGCAACUCGACUCCAUGAAGUUGGAGUUGCUAGUAAUCGCGCAUCAGAACGU